AACAGGCACGCCGCACGACGAAGAAGAAAAAGAAACGAAUCGCCUUUCGUGGCGCGGCACAGACGUUCCCGACGUUUCUCUGCAUCGCCGUCGUUGGUGUCCGCAACAAGCUGAGCUAGUGGACGGACGUAGGCUACUUUCGAGCUGGUCAGCUUGCAACCCGCAAGAUGCCGAUUCCCAUCGUCAACAACCCGCUGGCGGCCUUGCUGCCUCUGGCCAUGUUCUUCGGCGGCUGGUACUUGGACAAGCUGGAGGACCAGAGGAUGACCAUGUUCAGGAACAAAUCUGCGCUAUACGGCAGAACGCUCAAGCCGGGAGAGAAGGAGCCUUGGCCAUAAGCCAUUACUGAGGACUGACGUUAAUACGGGAAGUGAGCUAGUGUCAUUUGCUUGUGUACAAUACAUUAAUUGUGGGAGGA